GUGCUUGCUUCGGCAGCACAUAUUACUAAAAUUGGAAUGAUACAGAGAAGAUUAGCAUGGCCCCUGCACAAGGAUGACAUGCAAAUUCAUGAAGAGUUCCAUAUGUUU